rnacentral:rRNA from 1 species
UGAGGAAUAUUGGUCAAUGGGCGGAAGCCUGAACCAGCCAAGUAGCGUGCAGGACGACGGCCCUAUGGGUUGUAAACUGCUUUUAUGCGGGGAUAAAGUGGGCCACGCGUGGCCUUUUGCAGGUACCGCAUGAAUAAGGACCGGCUAAUUCCGUGCCAGCAGCCGCGGUAAUACGGAAGGUCCGGGCGUUAUCCGGAUUUAUUGGGUUUAAAGGGAGCGUAGGCCGGAGAUUAAGCGUGUUGUGAAAUGUAGACGCUCAACGUCUGCACUGCAGCGCGAACUGGUUUCCUUGGGUACGCACAAAG